rnacentral:lncRNA from 1 species
GAGCGAACAUGUUAGGUAUGAAGUUCAUUCGCUUUGGGUGGUGAAAAGCGAUAUGAUCAUCCCAGUCUCUGCGUAUAAUUUCCUGCCGGUAAUCACCCUUCUAAAGGUAUUCUAUAAGCCAGAGUUGAAGUAAUAGAUUACAGCCUUCAAAGUGUUUGGCCCCUUGCUCACACUUUUGUGAGGCUCUAUAUAUCUCAGCAAUGAUUAUGGGCACUAUGCUGAAGGAUUGCCUGCCAAUCCCUUCUAUUAAGGUCUUGGUUACCAUGGCUAGUCUGGUGUGGAUCAUAGCCUUCUACAUAGGAAAUAUCAUCAUCCCCAGAAAACAGAACAUGAUGACAAAAACCCUUCUAUGGAUAUGCCCCAAAGAGGUAAGUACAAAUUUGUCG